rnacentral:rRNA from 1 species
UGGGAAGUAUUGCAUCAAUGGCAGGCAAGCCAUGACUGUAGCCAUGCCCGCGCUGUAUGAAGAAGGCCAAUUCGGGGCUUUGGUUAAAGAUACUUUCAGCGAGGAGGAAGGUGUUGUGGUUAAUAACCGCAGCAAUUGACGUUACUCGCAGAAGAAGCACCGGCUAACUCCGUGCCAGCAGCCGCGGUAAUACGGAGGGUGCAAGCGUUAAUCGGAAUUACUGGGCGUAAAGCGCACGCAGGCGGUCUGUCAAGUCGGAUGUGAAAUCCCCGGGCUCAACCUGGGAACUGCAUCCGAAACUGGCAGGCUAGAGUCUUGUAGAGGG